rnacentral:sRNA from 1 species
CGCAGGCCUUCGACCUGCGCUAUUAUAUGUUGCCCCUUCAGGGCU